UACGUAGGGUGCGAGCGUUGUCCGGAAUUAUUGGGCGUAAAGAGCUUGUAGGCGGUUUGUCGCGUCUGCUGUGAAAAUCCGGGGCUCAACCCCGGACUUGCAGUGGGUACGGGCAGACUAGAGGUAUGCAGGGGAGAACGGAAUUCCUGGUGUAGCGGUGAAAUGCGCAGAUAUCAGGAGGAACACCGGUGGCGAAGGCGGUUCUCUGGGCCAUUACUGACGCUGAGGAGCGAAAGCGUGGGGAGCGAACAGG
rnacentral:rRNA from 1 species